rnacentral:tRNA from 1 species
GCGUUCUUAGUUCAGUUCGGUAGAACGCGGGUCUCCAAAACCCGAAGUCGUAGGUUCAAUUCCUACAGAGCGCG